rnacentral:rRNA from 1 species
CAGCAGCCGCGGUAAUACCGGCGGCCCGAGUGGCGGUCACUAUUAUUUGGCUUAAAGCGUCCGUAGCCGGGUUGGGAAGUCCUCCGGGGAAUCUGGCCGCUUAACGGUCAGAAUGCCGGAGGAUACUCCCAGCCUAGGGAGCGGGAGAGGCCGAGGGGAUUCCCGGAGUAGGGGGGAAAUCCUAUAAUCCCGGGAGGACCACCUGUGGCGAAGGCGCUCGGCUGGAACGCGUCCGACGGUGAGGGACGAAGGCCAGGGGAGCAAACCGGAUUAGAUACCCGGGUAGUCCUGGCGGUAAACGAUGCGGACUUUGUGUCGGACAAGCUAUGAGCUUGUCCGGUGCCGGAGGGAAACCGUUAAGUCCGCCGCCUGGGGAGUACGGCCGCAAGGCUGAAACUUAAAGGAAUUGGCGGG